CCCUUAGAUGUUCUGGGCCGCACGCGCGCUACACUGAUGCAUUCAACGAGUCUAAAACCUGCUCUGAUAGGGGUGGGUAAUCUUUUGAAUGUGAAUCGUGAUUGGGAUAGAUGAUUGCAAUUUUUCAUCUUCAACGAGGAAUGCCUAGUAAACGCAAGUCAUCAGCUUGCAUUGAUUACGUCCCUGCCCUUUGUACACACCGCCCGUCGCUCCUACCGAUUGAAUGAUCCGAUGAAUAUCAUGGAUUGAGGAUGCAAGCAGGUUCGCCUGUCUUCAUCUUCGAGAAGUGAAGUAAAUCUUAUCAUUUAGAGGAAGGAGAAGUCGUAACA
rnacentral:rRNA from 1 species